UCUUGAUCCAGAGACUUUCCAGAGAUGCUUUGGUGCCUUCGGAACUCUGAGACAGGUGCUGCAUGGUGUCGUCAGCUCGUGUUGUGAAAUGUUGGGUUAAGUCCCGCAACGAGCGCAACCCUUAUCCUUUGUUGCCAGCGUCCGGCCGGGAACUCAAAGGAGACUGCCAGUGAUAAACUGGAGGAAGGUGGGGAUGACGUCAAGUCAUCAUGGCCCUUACGAGUAGGGCUACACACGUGCUACAAUGGCGCAUACAAAGAGAAGCGACCUCCCGAGAGAAACUGACCUCAUAAAGUGCGUCGUAGUCCGGAUUGGAGUCUGCAACUCGACUCCAUGAAGUCGGAUCGCUAGUAAUCGUAGAUCAAGAAUGCUACGGUGAUACGUUCCCGGUCUGGGACACAC
rnacentral:rRNA from 1 species